GCAUCCAUAGUUUAAUUGGGAAAACUACAGCCUUCCAAGCUGAAGUCGAGGGUUCGAUACCCUCUGGAUGCU
rnacentral:tRNA from 1 species